CUUUCAUUUCUUGCUAAGGUUUGAUUCCAUACUGAAUUGGGUAGGCCCACCAUAAUGAAUAAUGGAUGCUACUUUCUUAAUGCUGUGAUAAACUUUCAGGUAAAAUUUAAAAGAAAAAAAAUUAUAGGAAUGAUGUAUUAUUGGAUAUUUUGCGUUUUUGUGGUGAUUGAAAGUGUAAACUAAAUUAAUCAAUCUUUCUUUCAAAUUUCCUUUCCCUUUUUAACAACUUUAAUUUUGUAGUUUUCUUUUUAUAUGAUGUGUGUGGCAUUGCAAUUGGCAGAUUCUUUUUGUUCUUUGUAGGGAUGGAGGAAUCAAAGAAUCUAUGAUUAGAUUUUUGGACCAAGAGCUUCCGUGUUUUCUCUUAAGAAAAGUAUGAUAAGGAAAAAAAAAAAAACUAAUCAACCAUUUCAAGAGAUAUAAAGUUGUACCUCAUAUCAAAACGACACUAAUAAGUUAUGUGUCCGUUCAAGACAUCUAACAUGUCAUAAUUUCUUAAGAUUAUCCUAACAAAUUAAGGAAUUUUCAAACCCACAUUUUAGUCAUAACUAAGCACCAACCUUCUGUAAAAAAAUAAAAAAUAAACUAAGCACCAACCUAUUAAUCAUUAGGUUAGGGUGAAAAUUGAAUUGCAACUAAGAAUUUGACGCAUUCAUGCGGUCAGUACAUUUAUAAUUGUUGGAUUGAGAUUAAACAAUUUAUAUUUAAAUUUGUUAAACAAGUAAAUAUCGAAUUUAAAGUUUGGGUCGUUUAAUCUUAAUCUAACAACCACAUAUGCGAUGAUCACAUGUGUCAAAUUGUGUUAGAAUCUAUGUUGUCUAGGUGCGGUACUGGUACCCGAUACGGGUACCAGUACGAGGUACGACAUUUUUUUAAAAAUUAAUGUACAUGUAUGAGCAUAAAUUAAGGUACGGGUAUGUACCCGGUACUGAUACGGAUACGUACCCGAUACUGGUACUCUCCCUUAAAUGGAGUACCCGUGCAUCAUAGGUUAGAAUAGUAAUUUAUAUAAGCCAACAAUUUAAUUUCCAUUAAAGGGAAUAAAUUAAAACAUGAUUAAUUAAUUUAUAUGAUUGAAUGUUGGAAAUUAAUUUAUAUGAUUGAAUGUUGGAAAUGAAAUAUAAUAUGAAGGGAAUACCCAAUUCACAAUGAGAUGCCAAGAAUACAAAGAAUAUGUGGGAAUACGUUCACUUUUCUUUGCAUUAUGAAAGCAAUCUAAAAUGGCUCACUCUUGGACAAAAGUCUCAAAGAAAUUAUUCCAAAGAGAAAGAAAAAGAUGAAGAUUAAAAGAAAAUUUCACCAAAAAAUAAAAAAGAAAAAGAAAAAGAAAAAGGAAAAGUAUAAUGGCCAACAACAUAUCUAAAAAAGCCAUUCGAUCAAGUCUUUCUUUUAGAUUUCUUGGGUUGUGGUGUAGAGUUGGAUCACAAGAAUCAAAAUCCAAUGAUUGGUGUUCAAAACACUGCCACUAUAACACCGUGUAUUCCCAGCUACUCUGCCUCAAUUGUUGAACAAAAUAUUCCAAAUCAAGCCAUUGGACUAGCUAGCUACACUUUAUACGAAGUAUAACUUUUAUAAACUUAAAUAAUUUCUACACAAAGAAUUUUGUUUUUGUUAGAUUAUGAGAUUGAUUAUAUAGAUGAAACGAUGUUAGUAUUAUUAAAUGAGUAUUAUAGUAUUAGAUGAUCACAUUACAUAGGUGUGACAUGAUGUUACAAUAUUUUUUAGCUUGAAAAAGCCACGCUUGCUUGCUGUAGCUGCAGGGAGUAGCAGGUACGUGGAUUGUCUCCGUGUUAACGGUCAGUUCACUCGCCUAGAAUUUUUAGGACUUCUAUGUUGUCCCUUAUGAUUAUCUAGAGGUUGGUAUGUUCAUGUUUCAUUGUCCUAUACGCUUUUGUGUAGAUUUACUGGGUUAGGUCCAUGUCCCCCGAUUUUUGUAUAUAUAUAUAUAAUAAAGAGAUAUAGAUAAAGGAUGGAGGCGAAGCCUGCUUUAUCACCUAAUACCUAGAUGCUCUUCGCCUUAUUAAAAAAAAUGAUGUUACAAUUUUUUAUUUUAAGUGUAAAUUAUUCCUCUCUCCUAUCUCAUGUAAAUUAUUCUCUUCUAUCUCUAAAACGUCAAUUUUUACUUAUAGUCAAUUUUUACUUAUAUGAGACGGAGGGAGUACGUCUAAAACUAAGUAUUUUUUUUAGCAUUUUUUAAUGAUUGGAUUAUUAACUUUUUUUCUUGUAUUUUCUAAUAUGUAUAAGGAUUUUUUUUAUCUUAAAUCUUUGAUUUCUAGUUUUUAGGAGAAGAGACUUUGCUAAUCUGAAAUUCAAUAAAAUAAGUAAGUUUUAGCUUCUUUUUUUCAAUUAAAAAAAAUAUCUGCUAAUGAUUUUGACAUGCUUUGUUUUUAUAGAACAAUCGAACUAUUUUAUAGGCUCAUUUUUAUAGAAUCAGUUGAACUUCUAGAAACGUGCUUAUUUCCUGCAGAAUUUCCUGCGGAUUUGGACCAAAAAUCUGCAUGAAGAUUUUUCUGUGGAAUCUUUAGAAUUCGGUACAAAUGAGAAACUAUAUGAGAAUAGAAUAAGAGUUUUUGAGAGAAGAGAUAUUUGUUCAUUUGUUGAUUGAUUGUCAAAGUGAGGCACAAUGCCUUUAAAUACAAUCCUAAAGGAUAAAAAUGUAAAAUAACAUAAAAUAAAUUAUUUAAAAUAAACUACUUAAUUCAUAAUACGUAUUUCCUGUUACACUGGUUCCCAGCUAAAUAUUUUCUCAAAAAAUACAAACAUUACAAGAAAAAGGGUAUAUAGCGAGCUGUUAUGUGGUAUACACGAGACUGAGUUUAUUUAUCAUAUCAGUGCUCUGAGAAUAAUAUGAAUUUGUACUGAGCAUCUGUAAUGCAUGGGUGUUAAAUGUAGAACUUAUUGCAUGUCGAUACCUUGUAUAUACCUUGUAUAGCUGUUUCUUGGUUGGUAACUUGUUUAAUCAAAUACCCUGUAUGGUUUGCGUGUGUGUGUGUGUUUGCCAUAGUUAUCUUGCUUCAUAAUAGAGUUUGCCUGUAUGUUGUAUCCUCUGUUUAAUGAAUUCCUUAUCUAAAUUUACUUUUAUGAUAGUAGUCACAAUACUUUUAUUUAACUCACUCAUGAUGAAAAACUAAUUCUCUUUAACAUGAUUAAUGUAACUUUGACUUUUCACUCUCGAUUAGUUUUUGCGAUGCAGCUGAAGCAAGAUAAACUUCAUCAUAUUAUGCAUCUAAUUAAGGAUUGUAUUGUGUAUAAUUUUCUAGUUAUUCAUAGCUUCUUAAUUUGUUUUUUUCUCCUAUGUCAUAACCUGAUGUGGAAAAGAAACUGAUAUUGUUGCUGUAGGAGAACAAAUAUACACUAGCUAUUAUUCUCCGAUUGGAGCUGGUUACUUUAUCAACGCGUAAGCAGCACCUAGAUAUGCUUCUUAAUUAACAUUUUCAUAAAUUUUUUAACUUCCUUAAUCAUCUCAUAUGAUUCAAUUCAAUAUGUUGUUACUUUUAACAAAACGGAUGUCUCUGGAACACAACAUAUUGAACAAUUCUUCAGUCAAAUUGUUACAAGACAUGUAAUCUUCUUAACUCUGAUAAUUUGCAAUAUUAGAACACUUGCAGUUCUACACACAAAAAAUUGCCACAUAUCUUUUCUAUCUUUUCAUUUGAAUGAAUCUUUCUAAUAGGGCUCUGCAUGGAAUUUACCUAGAUCAUGCACUUCAAGACUCAGGCCAAGGCUGUGCUUUUUCCUUCAAUAUGUUGUAUUUCAAAUCACCACACCAAUCUUCUUUGUAAACGCGACAUAUGACUCAUGGCAGAUUAUAUUAUUCUGUUGCUUAAUAUAAAUUAGUUUAUCCAAGUAGUAAUUGAUGUUUUUAAUAACAUGAGAUAUACAACAAGGCUUUUCCCUGAUCCUCAAGAUGUUGCUUUGAUUCAGGUUAAGAACAUUUUGAUUUUGGCACCGGGUGUUGUUGAUCCUCUUGGGCAUUGGCAUAGCUGCAAGCUAGAUAUAAACAACUGCUCUUCUAAUCAACUUUUUUUUUAUAAGCGCUCUUCUAAUCAACUUAAUUUUUCCCUUCAUAGGUUGUCACAUCCGAAGUCCUAACUGCAAGAUAUUACAAAAUUUGUUUAUCUUCACUUUUACCAUGACUUUGAUUUUCAGGCUUUAGAACACAAUUUCUAAGAGCAAUGACCGUAGUUCUUGUUGUUAUGUUCCAAAAGGCUAUUAAAUUUUUGAGGUUGAUGCUUAUGUAUCUUGUAGUAGUUAUGCUAGUGUUUAUUGGACAAACCAGUAGUGAUCUUCAGCAAAA